GGGUCUGGGUGUCCCUGUGCGGGAUUGGACCCCGGGACUUUCUUGGGGCCGCAUUCAAACCCCUUUACUGCCCGGUGCCUCCAUCUCCGGCUUCUGGGUGUGCUGGGGGCCAACAGCUCACAGCCACCCCCUUCUCUGAAUAGUUAAUUGUCCUUGGCUGAUGGGAACUGCUGCGCCCUGGAAGUUAUCACUCCCCAAACACCUGGAGCUCAUGAUUGACUGGGGUUGCAGUAUAAAGGCCCAGCUCCUUUGCCUCCAAGAGAGUUGACUCGUGCUAUUCGUGCUCCGAGCUCCUCUGGAAUGAAGUUGAAGGAGUGAGAAUCCCCAGAAUAAUGAGAGGACAACCAACAGGGGAAGGAAGUCCCUGGGAGGCCUGGCCCUGUGCACAGCUGACAGGAGCGUGGCCUCCUCAGGAACCUCCAAGGAUUUGGCUUCGGGACAGUGCAGGGCUGCACCCACACUGAGACGAGCUCGGUUUCCUCAGGACCGGCUGGGAGGUGCCUCCAUGGGAGAAAAAGAAACCUGUAUGGGACAUUUUAUGGCAGCUUUAUUCAUAACAGCCAAAACUUGGAAGCAACCAAGACGUCCUUCAGGAGGUGAAUGGACACACAGACUGGUCUCCAUCCAUGCAACAGAAUGUUCUUCAGCACUGAAAAGAUAUGAGAGAGAUAUGGAGCCAUGGGGAGAUGGGAGGGGCACCUUAAGUGCAUAUCACUCACCAAACGAAGCCAAUCUGGGGCUUCCCUGGUGGCGCAGUGGUUGAGAAUCUGCCUGCCAAUGCAGGGGACACGGGUUCGAGCCCUGGUCUGGGAAGAUCCCACAUGCCGCGGAGCGACUAGGCCCGUGAGCCACAA